rnacentral:rRNA from 1 species
CCUACGGGCGGCAGCAGUGGGGAAUAUUGGACAAUGGGCGAAAGCCUGAUCCAGCCAUGCCGCGUGUGUGAAGAAGGCCUUCGGGUUGUAAAGCACUUUCAGUGGGGAAGAAAGCCUUGGGGCUAAUACCCUCGAGGAAGGACAUCACCCACAGAAGAAGCACCGGCUAACUCCGUGCCAGCAGCCGCGGUAAUACGGAGGGUGCGAGCGUUAAUCGGAAUUACUGGGCGUAAAGCGCGCGUAGGCGGUCUGAUAAGCCGGUUGUGAAAGCCCCGGGCUCAACCUGGGAACGGCAUCCGGAACUGUCAGGCUAGAGUGCAGGAGAGGAAGGUAGAAUUCCCGGUGUAGCGGUGAAAUGCGUAGAGAUCGGGAGGAAUACCAGUGGCGAAGGCGGCCUUCUGGACUGACACUGACGCUGAGGUGCGAAAGCGUGGGUAGCAAACAGGAUUAGAUACCCGGAUAGUC